rnacentral:rRNA from 1 species
GACGAACGCUGGCGGCGUGCUUAACACAUGCAAGUCGAAUGGAAAGGCCCUGCUUGCAGGGUGCUCGAGUGGCGAACGGGUGAGUAACACGUGGGUGAUCUGCCCCUUAUUUUGGGAUAAGCCUGGGAAACUGGGUCUAAUACUGGAUAGGACCAUGCUGUAGGUGGUGUGGUGGAAAGAUUAGUUUCGGUAAGGGAUGAGCUCGCGGCCUAUCAGCUUGUUGGUGGGGUAAUGGCCUACCAAGGCGUCGACGGGUAGCCGGCCUGAGAGGGUGGACGGCCACAUUGGGACUGAGAUACGGCCCAGACUCCUACGGGAGGCAGCAGUGGGGAAUAUUGCACAAUGGGCGCAAGCCUGAUGCAGCGACGCCGCGUGGGGGAUGACGGCCUUCGGGUUGUAAACUCCUUUCAGCCAUGACGAAGCCCUUGUGGUGACGGUAGUGGUAGAAGAAGCACCGGCUAACUACGUG